ACAUCGACUUACCACGAUCGUAGCGCUAAGAUGAUCGUAGCGCCCAUACUGUAACGUAGACUUACAACAGCCGUAGCGCUACCAUCGCUCUGU